rnacentral:sRNA from 1 species
CCCAGCGCUGAAGCGCUGGGCUAAAUUGUUUCGUCCUCCGGACU